rnacentral:rRNA from 1 species
UACGUAGGGUGCAAGCGUUGUCCGGAAUUAUUGGGCGUAAAGAGUUCGUAGGCGGUUUGUUGCGUCGGCUGUGAAAUCCCGAGGCUCAACCUCGGGUCUGCAGUCGAUACGAGCAAACUAGAGUGUUGCAGGGGAGACUGGAAUUCCUGGUGUAGCGGUGAAAUGCGCAGAUAUCAGGAGGAACACCGGUGGCGAAGGCGGGUCUCUGGGCAACAACUGACGCUGAGGAGCGAAAGCGUGGGGAGCGAACAGG